GCCAGUGUGGCGUAGUGGUUUGAGCUUUGGACCAGGAUUCUGGAGGCCAAGGUUCAAAUCCCUGCUAAGCCG